rnacentral:rRNA from 1 species
CUACGGGUUGCAGCAGUGGGGAAUCUUGCACAAUGGAGGAAACUCUGAUGCAGCGAUGCCGCGUGAGUGAAGAAGGCCCUUGGGUUGUAAAGCUCUUUCGUCGGGGAAGAAAAUGACUGUACCCGAAUAAGAAGGUCCGGCUACUUCGUGCCAGCAGCCGCGGUAAUACGAAGGGACCUAGCGUAGUUCGGAAUUACUGGGCUUAAAGAGUUCGUAGGUGGUUGAAAAAGUUAGUGGUGAAAUCCCAGAGCUUAACUCUGGAACUGCCAUUAAAACUUUUCAGCUAGAGUAUGAUAGAGGAAAGCAGAAUUUCUAGUGUAGAGGUGGAAUUCGUAGAUAUUAGAAAGAAUACCAAUUGCGAAGGCAGCUUUCUGGAUCAUUACUGACACUGAGGAACGAAAGCAUGGGUAGCGAAGAGGAUUAGAUACCCGAGUAGUC